rnacentral:misc_RNA from 1 species
GUAGGUGAACCUGCGGAAGGAUCAUUCAAAAUAUUUGGUAAAAAAGUAAGGUAAGUGGCCUUCCCAUAAAGAAGCGGCGUGAGGGGGGGAAUCGUGAGAUCGAGGGUGGAGCACGAUAGCGAGCAUCCCCCUAUCGUCCCUCACUCACCUCAAGAGAUGUCCCCGGGAGAGGUGUACCCCCUUUCUUGCUCUCUUAUAAACAUCCCUUGCAGCCGCUGCUUUGUGGGUUGGCCAUCUUCCCCUUUAUUAC